rnacentral:rRNA from 1 species
UACAGAGGGGGCAAGCGUUGUUCGGAAUUACUGGGCGUAAAGGGCGUGUAGGCGGCCUGCUAAGUCGAACGUGAAAUCCCUGGGCUCAACCCAGGAACUGCGUCCGAUACUGGUUGGCUUGAAUCCGGGAGAGGGAUGUGGAAUUCCAGGUGUAGCGGUGAAAUGCGUAGAUAUCUGGAGGAACACCGGUGGCGAAGGCGACAUCCUGGACCGGUAUUGACGCUGAGGCGCGAAAGCCAGGGGAGCAAACGGG